UGAAAGGGUCAGGGUCUAGACUCAGUUUGCCAUCGUGGGUAGAGGCUCAGGGCCGGCCCAGGAGUGAGUCAGCAGCCUGUGUCCGCUCUGGCUGGGCGAGGACCUUCAGAGUCUUUUUAAAAGAGUGUGGUCCUGUACAGACAAGGCUUUUCCUAUCCCUUGAAGGUGGAGGAACACUCAGUUGUGUCAGACUUAAGCUGAAUAUGGUAUUCAAGCUGACUACAGACCUUCUGAGUCACGAAAAUGUGGGGUUGCUUCUGUUUUCUCAUUCUCUGAGCCUUUGUCUCAGGGUGAAAAAACAAUGUUUUGAGAUCAGUAGAAAGAAAUUCUGACUACAGCCUUGGGUUCUAUGGCUCGAUUAAUGGGGAAACUGAGGCAGGGCACUGAACUCUCUGCUUUAUCCAAGGAAUUGUGGCUGUUGCUCAGCAUCUUGCCUGUGGAUUCAGUUCUCAGGUCCCUGCAGCAGCAGAAAUCUCUGCCUUGAGUGGGUGAUAAGUCACUGAUGCCUGGCGGAGCUCAGUGGGGUAUCCUUGCGUUCACUAGAGACUGAGGAUACAAGUCUGAUUCGUGUGCUGGGGACAGAGAUACAUUGUGUCACUUACGUGUAUGGCUGUGUGAACCCCAUAAAGGAAAAGGGGGAUAUUCCACAUGGCUCCUCCAUCAAGGAGUUCUGAGUCUACUGGGGGAGGGAGCUGCAUCCAGAGAUAACUGUAUCACAAGGCAGGAAUUGAUGAGCGUCAUAAACAAGGACUGAGUCACAGAGGAAGUUGUCAUCUUAUAGUUAUAAUGUGCCUUAGGAAUUGUCUUAAGAGCAAAAUAUUGACAAAAACCCCUAAAUGAUUGGCAGCAGGAAACGAUGACACAUCCAUGCGAAAUUUAGAACAUCUUUCUGCACAUUGUGGACUUGUCUGAUCCCAAGAAAACUGGAAAUUUGUGGAAAAUUUCAAUCAGGAACAUAAACUCAAUGUUCUGAUCAAUAAUGCAUAGUCAAUAAAAGAGAGCUCACAGAAGAUGGACUUGAAAAAAACUUGGCUCCCAAGACUGUGGGAAGCUCAAGGCUCAUCAUAGAAUUAUUUGGGAGGGCAGAGCAAGUUCAUCUCAGGUGGAGAGUGAGAUGAACUUGAAUAUGAAAACUGUAGCCAAGGGAACUUCCAGCAGAACUGAGGAAGGCACAACCAUGAGACAAGGAGAUGGAGCAACAAGGGCAUUCAGCCAGAACAGAGGACACCUGGAUUCUCGGUCCCGCUCUGUGCUAACAGGCCGACUGAUUUUACACCGGGCCAGUGGUUCUCAGAUUCAUCUUCCUCGACCAGCAGCAUCAGCAUCACUGGGGAACUUGGUAGAAAUGCACAUUCUUGGGCCUCACCCUCAAAUCUACUGAAUCCAAAACUCUGGGAUGGGGCAGAGAAAUCUGUGUUCUGAAAAGCCCUCCAGAUGACUCUGAUGCACACUCAAUUUGAGAACCAAGGUACCAGGCUUUUAACCUUAGAUUUUCUCCUUGAACCUAGGGGUCUGGAGUAGAUUAUUUCAGUGCCUUUCACCUGGGAGAUACAAGGAAUCUAAGAUUCUCCCCAGUAUCUAUACCACUUCCUUACAGGAGGAGAAAUGCUUGCUGCGUGUGAAGAGUUACGUAUGCUCUUUGGAAUGAUACGGCUGGUGGCCUAGGAGGCAAAAAGCCUACAGAAGCACGUGACGUCUCGGAGCUGCUCCUUCAGGAGAAGUUUUUAAAAAGCACAUACCACCUGGCUGUGCCCUCGGGAAGCGUAUUCGGCAGGGGUGAGUGGCCCUGCUAAUCCUCCUGCAGUCAGUGCAUGAGGUUCUGAGGCAUCUUUGUUCCAGUCCUGGGGAGAGGAAAACCGAUGAGAUGGAGGAAGGAACAGCGGGGCAAGCAAUGGCAACACAGAGCCAGUCACAGCCUGUGGACUAAAAGCCUCAGAGAGGAGGGACACUGCAGCUCAGGUGGGCACAUUCUCACGACUGCCCUGAGCCCUGCAUUGGAGAAAGGACACGACCCCAAAGUGGAACAUUCUCCUCAGGAGGAAUUGAGCACCGACGAUCCACAGUGAGAAGGGACAGCAUUUAAUGGAACUGUGGUCUCUGCACAAAACCAAGAGACAUGCUUGGGUCUGCUGACCAGGGUGAGCUCCAUCAGGCGGUGGAGAGCCCCCAGCCUCUUCUACUCCCAAGUACAUUACCCUGACAGCUCCAGCAUCAACUUGCAUGCUUUCAGAAUCUGUGCUAGCAAUCCCACCGCCUCGAUCUAACAUCUGGGUCAAGGUGCAGUUUGCUGUCUGUCGUCCACAGGUCACAGAGCAAGGACUGGACAGGGGCCUGGGCGUGAGGACGCUUGUCCUCUCUGAGUGCUGUGAGGCUGUCGAUGCCCAGGUUCCACUCAGUGCUCAAGAACAGGGGAGCUCUGCGGCCCAGGGUGUGGAUACUGUGCCGUGGCUGGUUUCUCCAUGUCUGUGAAGGCGGCCGCACCCUCCUUCCCUAAACCACAGGACUGGGGCCUCUUGAGAUCAGAAACCAGUUCCCACACACUUGCCUCUUGUUAGAAUAUCCUCCUCACUGGCUGAAGAGAAACUAAGAGAACUCCUGGAAGAGCUGGCUCAGAGAUUUAAAUAGGCCAGGCCAGACCAGACGCACGGCCAGAAUCGCCUUAGAGAAGACAAGACGGUGUGGACUAGGGGCCAGUGAGCAGAGUCGAAAGAUGCCACUGUAGCAAUAAGGAACCUCCAUGGGAUGGGAACUUUUACCUUAAAAUAAAUAUGACUGGGGCUGGGAACAAGCUAACCUUCAUCUUCUGCAGCACAAUCUUUUCCUGUGUAGAUCUUAUUUGAGAAUGUGGUUUUCUUAAAAAUUCUGCGUUUAGGGUCACCCCGCAUUGUCACUGUGAGGGAAGCAGCGGUGAGCGCUGUGCUGCUCUGAAGCCAGGAGAGGGCUGUCCGCUGCCUCUGCCGUACGCGUCCCCGGGAGCACAGCACAACCAAGGGACAGUGCACAGUGACAUAAACCAAUUACAGGAGGCCUAGUCUACAUUUGCUUAAGAUUAAGAGUGGCUUCAAUAAUGCACCUGGCAUUCUAGCGCUACGUUUUAAAAAAACUUCUAAAUUACACCAUUUUACCUCCUAGUGACUCCAGGGAAAGUUGUAAUGAAAUCAAUGAACAGAUUUAGAAUAUAUCUUCAUGCAUUCUUGGUGUUCAAGGUGAAAUAGACAUAACUCGUCCCCCAUAGUGAAGGAAAACCCGGGUGGGCACAGCUCGGCCAGUCACACGUUUGGUUCCUCAGAUCCAGGCUCUCAGCCAAGGAGCCCCAAGGAAGGGGUUUUUCUGGGUGUGCCUGCCUGGAAGGUCAGCGAGCACUGGCUCCAUCUGAUGGCGUCUCUCCUUCCCUGAAGGAGGAAAGCAGGGGCCUCUGGAGUGCUAGGUGUGGGUGAGGCUGGCACACGUGGGCUAUGAGGGAGGGGCCCCACCAGAGAUAGGGGCCUCGACGUGAAGGGUGACCCACUACGCCACUCACUGGCUGUUCCACAUUGUGCAGGCUAUUGAUUUCUCCCUGCCUGUUUUCUUAUCCACAAAAUGGGCCUCAUGGGUGUUUAGAGAGGCUUUUCCUGGCUGUAUUUGCCCUGAAGUCCUCUUUCUCCUCGCUUGGAAAGUUUACUAAUCACAGUUAAAGCAGACUUCUGUGAAAGAUCAAGAAAAUAAAAAGGACCACAGGGCCAGAGCCCACUUGCUGCACUUUGAGUGUGUGAUGAA
rnacentral:lncRNA from 1 species